GUGAUUGGAAUGAGUACACUUUAAAUCCUUUAACGAGGAACCAUUGGAGGGCAAGUCUGGUGCCAGCAGCCGCGGUAACUCCAGCUCCAAUAGCGUAUAUUAAAGUUGUUGCGGUUAAAAAGCUCGUAGUCGGAUGUCUGUCUUCGGCCGGGCGGCGCCGCUCUGAAUCAAGGGUGUUGCGUUUCACGCUCUGGGAGCCCGGGUGUCAAAGCCCGACUCUCUUCACGGUCGGACAACAUCGCCGGAGUGGUGGCCGGUGGGUCGCGUUGUAUCGGUUCGCGUGGCGUUUCGUUUUCUUCCUCUUCGGGGUUCGCUCCGUCGAGGGGGGGAUGAUCGCUCGCGUUCAGUUGACGCGGUUCGCUCCACCCAGUCAAUCGUUCGGGGUGCCCUUCACCGGGUGUCUCGGGCGGCCGGCAACGUUUACUUUGAACAAAUUAGAGUGCUCAAAGCAGGUGUAUCCCAACGCCUGAAUAUCGCAGCAUGGAAUGAUGGAAUAGGACCUCGGUCCGAUUUUGCUGGUCUUUUCUUUUGGACCCGAGGUAAUGGUCAAUAGAGACGGA
rnacentral:rRNA from 1 species